GUGGUCAGAGCCCUGGGGUUCCAUGGGGAAGAGCAAGCAAUGCUUGAGCUCACACACACAGUGUCCCUCUGGGAGCUUCUGAGCAAAGGCCUGCUUGAGUGGAGGGACAAGGACUACCCGAGUGGAGGGACACACGCUUGAUUGGAAGAGCCACAUACAGCCAGGUGAGGAACAGCGCCGACUGGAGUUUCCUGUGGGCUGACAUCUUUACAUCUGGAGGCAGCAUGCUCUCACUGGCGCAGAGGAGGUCACAACUGAUGUGCUCACAUGAAAACAAACAAACAAACAAACAAAAUCCCAGAUGUUCAGCUCCUGCCCAGUGGCGGAUGGUGAAGAUGGCUGUAGGUCAUCUACCAUGGUGAAGUGAUGUGUGGAGCAUGCAAUAUCAGAAGGGGAGUCGGGCCAAGGACCAUGGAGGCAUACCUUAAACAAGCAAAUCUGCAGAUUUACUUGUCAAGUUGAAAAGUCUGGUGUGGAGGGGACCAGCUAGAGCAAACAGAGAAGCCGGGCCUCAGCCAGUACUAACUACGCUGCAGAGCUGGACUUCGGCCCCUGCUUCUGCAAGGUGCUUCCUGUCUCAUUGAUGGGCAACCAAGAGGAAGGUCAUUGGCUUUCCAAAGAGCCUGCAGCUGGAGGGAAAGUCAGUUCAGACCAGAAGAGGCUUUGGAUCCCUUGGAACUGGAGUUACAGAGAUGGUCGUGAGCACCCAAGGGAUGCUGGAAAGUGAGCCCGGCUCCUCUGGGCAAGCAACCAGUGUUCUUAACUGCUAAGCCAUUUCUCCAACCCCCAAAAAUGCUUAUUUUUAAAUAAAUUUUAAUAGUA